AGAAUAUGGUAGGGAAUGUAAGUU
rnacentral:snRNA from 1 species